GGUAUAGUGUAGAUAUCAUCUCCAAACGCUGUUCAUCUGACAUACAUUUUAUAAAUUACAAUAUAAAUGAUCAGCAUUAAACUCAGCUGUUUGUCAUUUUCUUUCUCCUUUCAAACUCCAGACUCAGCAGUGAACCACAUAACCUCCAACCCUAACCCCUCACUCCAACCCUAGCUCUCCCUGAUAGAGAGUCAUCAUGAUGCUUCAGCUAGCCCCCACCCUGACCCCAAACCUGCCCCUACCGCUACUCCUAAAUCUAACCUUUAAUUUGCAGAGGUUAACAACUUCCACUUAAUAUUGACCACUUCCUGCGGAUAUCAGACAGGUUUUUUGGAAGGAAUUUCCAAGGUUUGAUACCAGAGUUUCCAGUAACAUCAGAAGCACAUUGGAGUUUGCCCAUUUGCCUACAGGUCAUGGCUAUCAAAUGAUGAGCCUUCACCCAAUUCACCUGUGAUGCAGCAUUUCUCAUUUGGUUCUGUCUGGCUGUAGCUUCAAUCAGCACCACACAGGUUAAGUCCAUUUCUGUGGUGCCAUUCAUGCCCAUGCUCAGAAGUAUUACCCAAGAUGCUCAGAGAAGAGAAGGUGGCAUAGGCCCAACAGGUGUUUGAAAAAGUUGAGACACUGACGGGGGCUGCCUCUGUUCCUGAUGGCUGUUGGUGGAGAAGGGGGGGAGGAAAGCUAGAAGCUGUUGCAGACUGACAGAGCCCCUGUCGUGCAGCAGGGAAAUGCGAUGCCACUGUCCUUCCCCCAAUAAUAAGUGGGCCAAAUAAGAUACAAGGUUAGAAAUAGUUAAUAAAAACCUUUUCAGAAUGAUAAAACAAAUAAUUAUGGCAAAGAAAAGAGAAACACAACCAAUACUGAAAAAAGAGAUAGUGUUUGUAAAUGCUGCAGUGCUGUUUAUGGUUCUGUUUUCUAUAUUUGCAUGUGGUUUUUUAAUUUUCUGAGUUUAAGUCCAUUGUAGAAAUAUGAAACUGGUUCUAAAUGUGGACUGGUGCACCUCAGCUGUCAAACUCAGCAGCAGAAGGUUUUUGUACCAGUCUCAUUCACGGUGAGAAUUACUAUGAGAUCUACCGCUACUACUACGACGACCAGAAGGUCCUUAGCUCUGGAACAAAACUGUAUGUUACAGAUGAGCAGGUAGUGAAGCCUGUGGUGAGCGUGUACCCAGCAGCAUCCAGAGCCCACCUGGAGGGGAACAGCUCCCUGCUGUGUCUGGCCUCAGCCAUGUUUCCUCCCCUGGUCCGGUUCUCCUGGAAAAGACAGAAGGAGAACGGCCAGCUGGAGGAGCUGCCCUCUGCUGGGAGAGAGCAGCUGGAGCUCAGGGAGUCGGGACGCACCGCCGCCAUCCUGCUGGUUGAUCGGGACAGUUUCUACACUUAUAAAUACCGCUGCUACGUGGAGCACGAGGGGGGCAGAGUGGAGGCCCAAAGAGAACAAGUGGUUCCCCUGGAUCCUUUCCAGUCUCAGUGCAGGGUGAAGCUGCUCUGUCUGCUGUACACAGUGCUGAUAGUGAAGAGUCUGCUGUACUGCUGUGGACUCUCUCUGCUGAAGAGCCUCAGAAACAAGGGACCGUCCACCUGCUGCCCACAUGCUGACUGACUGUUUUCUGCUCGCCUUUUCUCACCAUCACAUCUCAUCCCUUCAUCUCAUUCAUCACUUUU
ensembl:lncRNA uncharacterized LOC117152743